rnacentral:rRNA from 1 species
AUUGAACGCUGGCGGCAUGCCUUACACAUGCAAGUCGAACGGCAGCACGGGAGCAAUCCUGGUGGCGAGUGGCGAACGGGUGAGUAAUAUAUCGGAACGUGCCUAGUAGUGGGGGACAACCAUUCGAAAGAGUGGCUAAUACCGCAUACGCACUCUGGUGGAAAGUGGGGGAUCGCAAGACCUCACGCUAUUAGAGCGGCCGAUAUCGGAUUAGGUAGUUGGUGGGGUAAAGGCCUACCAAGCCUGCGAUCUGUAGCUGGUCUGAGAGGACGACCAGCCACACUGGGACUGAGACACGGCCAGACUCCUACGGGAGGCAGCAGUGGGGAAUUUUGGACAAUGGGCGCAAGCCUGAUCCAGCAAUGCCGCGUGCAGGAUGAAGGCCUUCGGGUUGUAAACUGCUUUUGUACGGAGCGAAACGGCUCUCUCUAAUACAGAGGGCUAAUGACGGUACCGUAAGAAUAAGCACCGGCUAACUACGUGCCAGCAGCCGCGGUAA